rnacentral:lncRNA from 1 species
UGAUAUGCCAACCAGACGUUCUCUCAGUCAGCAUCCACUGUGUCAAUCAGUCGGCAGUGCUCUCCUGGACCCCCGUUGGUGAUGUGGUGGGAUACUCAGCCUCUGCUGAGAACGAGGCAGGCCACAUGCUGUUCUGUAACAGCAGCUCAGAGCCCACCUGCACCAUGGGCGGCCUCCAGUGUGGAUCCCAGUAUAACUUCUCCGUCCAGGCCUCUGACGGGACUUGCAACCGCUCCAUCAGUGAGCCAGUGCUGGCCGGAGGAGGUACCACAGAGAUGUUCAUUCAUAAAGCAUAUCAUACGAUGUCCAUUAUUACCAUUAUUAUAUUCGUUUUUUGACCCAAAUUGAUUGGGUUGAGUUAAAUUGGGCUCUUCUUAUUACUAUUUGGGAUUGGAGCGUAUUGGAGUAGUAUAGGGGGCAGCAUAGUCGCAGGUCAAGGCUGUUUGACUCUCAGUCAACAGGUUCUGGGUCAGAACCCUGAUGUCUGCAGUCUACUUGUUUGCGUCCUGGCGGAGGCCUAACCCCCGCCUCCGUGCAUGCAUCUGAAUAGUUGUAGAUACGUAUAUAUGUAUCGAAGGCUACUUGUAUAACUACCUUUUUUUUUUACAUAUGUUCAAAGUCGAUUUGCUGUCUGUCUGGCCCAGUCCCAUGUCCUCCAGAAGAUCUUCAGGUGCAGCUGUUGCCCAUGGAAAGUGCAGUCCAGACACUGCAUUUUGAGUGGUCCCAGGUUGCAUGUCCAGAUGUCCAGUACCAGCUGAUCUUGACUGGCAGCAUAUUAGGGGACAGCCAAGCACAGUUUGAGCUCUCUUCAUAUUGGACAAACUCAACCUUUUUUGAAAUGCCCCUCCCCUGCGGCUCAUCCUACCUGGCUAUGGUGCAGGGCAGAGGACCCGCUGGCACCAGUGCGCCAUCUGAGGCUUUAAAUGGAACUACAGCUCCAUGUUCGCCUGCAAACGUGACUUUCAGAGGCAGUACUGCCUCAGCCGUCCUCUCAUGGUACGACUCUGUGUUCGCCACCUACUACACGGUGUACGACAACCGGACGGCGCCCCCGAGCCAAUUGUGCAACCUCACUGAGCUCACCUGCAGCCUGACUGAAGUCCCUCAUGGCAGCGUUCUCAUCACUGCCAGCAACGCAGCGGGCGAGAGUGAUUCGGCCCCUGUCGAAAGAGUGAUAGGAGGAGGACGUAGCAGGAGGGACCUCAGGGACAACAACAAGGGUGAGUUCUCUUUCUUUGGGGAUCAUUUUUGUGUUUAUUAGCCUACUGUAUUAUUAGCCUACUGAAGAAGAUACCACAGAUCUUGACUUUCAUGCAAUGCCCAUUUAUAUGGGCAUAGGGAUGAGUAUGUCCAAACCCUUUUAUGUCUCCAAUGGAGUGCGGCAGGGCGGAAUUCUGCAGCAGCUUCUUAGAAUAUGCUCUCAAUAUGGCAUAAUGUAUGAUAUUAAAUUUAACUCAACGAAAAGUGUGGUGCUGAUUUCUAGAACCAAGGAGGAUAGGAAGCUUUUCCUUCUUUCUCACUCGCAGGUGAACCGCUAGUGGUUGUAAAGAAGGUUAAAUAUCUGGGACAUGUGAUAAGAGAUGAACUCUGUGAUGAUGAUGUGCAGCGUCAAUGUGGUAUAUUGUAUGGGCAGGCAAACAUGCUGGCUCGCAAAUUCUGCAUGUGUACUACUGAUGUUAAAAUAUCGCUCUUCAAUACGUAUUGCACACUGUAUACUGCCCACCAGUGGUGUAAGCGAAAAUGAAAAAACUUCAAGUGACAUAUAAUGGUGCUCUGAGAAUUUUGCUUAAAACUCCCAGGAGGGGUAGUGCCAGUGAAGUGUUCGUGAUAAAACAAUGUGCCCACUUUUAAUGCUGUUCUGAGAAAUUGUAUGCAUA